rnacentral:rRNA from 1 species
UACGGAGGGUGCAAGCGUUAUCCGGAUUCACUGGGUUUAAAGGGUGCGUAGGCGGGCAGGUAAGUCAGUGGUGAAAUCUCCGAGCUUAACUCGGAAACUGCCGUUGAUACUAUCUGUCUUGAAUAUUGUGGAGGUAAGCGGAAUAUGUCAUGUAGCGGUGAAAUGCUUAGAUAUGACAUAGAACACCUAUUGCGAAGGCAGCUUACUACGCAAUCAUUGACGCUGAGGCACGAAAAGCGUGAGGAUCAAACAGG